UACGGAGGGUGCAAGCGUUAUCCGGAUUCACUGGGUUUAAAGGGUGCGUAGGCGGGCAGGUAAGUCAGUGGUGAAAUCUUUGGGCUUAACCCGAAAACUGCCAUUGAUACUAUCUGUCUUGAAUAUUGUGGAGGUUUGCGGAAUAUGUCAUGUAGCGGUGAAAUGCUUAGAGAUGACAUAGAACACCUAUUGCCAAGGCAGCAAACUACGCAUAUAUUGACGCUGAGGCACGAAAGCGUGGGGAUCAAACAGG
rnacentral:rRNA from 1 species